GAUUUCUGGCCUGGUGCGCUUGGCCCGCUGCGGUUUCGCAUGUGAGUGCCGAUGCGUACCUGCCAUCCUUGUCGACCGACCGAACCCUUCUUCAUUGAAUGGGUACGGAUCCCGGGCGGCAUCAUUUACUUUGAAAAAAUUAGAGUGUUUCAAGCAGGCAGUUUGCUAUGAAUACAUUAGCAUGGAAUAAUACGGUAGGACUUUUGUUCUAUUUUGUUGGUUUCUAGAGUGGAAGUCAUGAUUGAUAGGGAUAGUUGGGGGUGCUAGUAUUCAGUGGCCAGAGGUGAAAUUCUUGGAUUCCCUGAAGACUCACUAGUGCGAAAGCAUU
rnacentral:rRNA from 1 species